AUUUUAUAAAAUGUUUUCCUGAUUAUUUAAAUCCAAUUCAAGUUAUUAUUGAAUAAUCUUUAUGUUACAAUUAAUCAUCAAGCUGACGUACUUCUUCCGGUAACCAAUCGAGCAUUCUGGUCGAUUGAUAGGUUUGUUGAUGAGAGUUUCAACCUAUGGUCUACUUUUGAGAGCGGUAACUAGUGUCUAAUUUACAUAUUUAGGCUGCCUAAAAUCUUUUCAAGAAAGAUCAUGAUCUGAAAAAUGUUUAAAAAGAGUUGUGCAACGUUUAAUGGAUGGAUUGCGUGCCACCAACAAUUGGUGCUUUCUUUUGAUUCGCAUUCUUCAAAGAAUAAUUUCUCAUGAUGUUCGCUUCGUGGACCUUUAACAUUCAUUUCAUUGCACGAAAAUAGAUGUUUGCUUACUAUGAAGAAACUCGAAACAAGAUAAAGGUAAACAGAUUAAUAAAAU